GACCGUAGCCGAAAAACAGAAGGCUUGGAAGAUGCUGAGUAAAGAAUAAUAUAACGCCAACACCACUUAUGUACCCAGAACUACUGAGAAUUUACUGGUAGGUACAAAAACCUGAAAACAAAGACGAAAAAACAGCACUCAAGUGAAAAAAUGCAGAUCUCAAAUAUACCUAGAUAGCAAAGUUUUACACGCGUCUGUAGUUCAGACAGUGGAGCUCCAUGGACAAGACUGGGAAACGGUUUCGGCUGAUGUUAAUCUCCCCCCCGAGGAAUGCCAAACAACAUUCAAUAUUUUAAGUAAAGAAGCGAAACCAUCAUCAAGCAAAAUAAAACAACAAGCCAUAUUUUAAGAUUUAGGUAUAUAAUAUACAGUGGUAAUUAAUAAUAAUAAACAUGUUUUUAAAUCAACUGGUGUUUGGUACUGGUGACGCUAUAACCUUGCAAAAUAGUUAUUGAUCAGCGAAGUUCUUGCAUUGUUCCCAGACUGUAAGGCACGAGGAGGUUGGUCUAUAUAGAUUGUUGGGGUAUUUUUUGUAAGACGAAAGCUUUUAAUAAAUUCAUCAUCUCGAUAAGCACGAAACAAAUCUGUUAUUUUAGUAGUUAACCCUCCUAUAAAAGUAAGGGGUAUUCAAAUAUUCAAUCAUUUCUUUAUC